AGUAACGCGUAUCCAACCUGCCUUACACUCUUGGACAGCCUUCUGAAAGGGAGAUUAAUACAAGAUGUUAUCAUGAGUAAGCAUUUUCGCAUGAUUAAAGGUUUACCGGUGUAAGAUGGGGAUGCGUUCCAUUAGAUAGUAGGCGGGGUAACGGCCCACCUAGUCUUCGAUGGAUAGGGGUUCUGAGAGGAAGGUCCCCCACAUUGGAACUGAGACACGGUCCAAACUCCUACGGGAGGCAGCAGUGAGGAAUAUUGGUCAAUGGACGAGAGUCUGAACCAGCCAAGUAGCGUGAAGGAUGAAGGUUCUAUGGAUUGUAAACUUCUUUUAUACGGGAAUAAACGAAUCCACGUGUGGAUUUUUGCAUGUACCGUAUGAAUAAGGAUCGGCUAACUCCGUGCCAGCAGCCGCGGUAAUACGGAGGAUCCGAGCGUUAUCCGGAUUUAUUGGGUUUAAAGGGAGCGUAGAUGGGUUGUUAAGUCAGUUGUGAAAGUUUGCGGCUCAACCGUAAAAUUGCAAUUGAUACUGGCAGUCUUGAGUACAGUUGAGGUAGGCGGAAUUCGUGGUGUAGCGGUGAAAUGCUUAGA
rnacentral:rRNA from 1 species